AAGGUGAAGGAUUUGGAAAAAUUAGAGGAUCGCAUAGUACUCAUAUUAUGCAAGCUGGAGAAAAUUUUCCCACCGGCGUUCUUUGAUGUGAUGGUCCAUUUAGCCAUUCAUUUGCCCCAUGAAGCCAUUCUUGGUGGGCCUGUGCAAUAUCGGUGGAUGUACCCCAUUGAAAGGCUACUUGGAACUCUAAAAGGGUAUGUUGCAAAUCGAGCCCGUCCAGAAGGUUCGAUCGCAGAAGCUUAUAUUGUCAAGGAGUGCCUCACAUUUUGCUCAAUGUAUCUGGGUGGGGUCGAAACUGUAUUUAAUCGAGAGGAAUGAAAUGUCGAUGUUGGUGUGCAUGAGUCGGGGUUAGAGGUCUUCACGCAAGAUGUUCGUCCUUUUGGGCUAAUGACAAGGGCUUCUGAUGUGUCUCCAAAAGAACGUGAAAUGGCUCAUUGGUUUGUCUUGAAUAAUAGCCUUGAGUUGGACCAUUAUCUAGAGCAACACAAAAACCUUUUAGAAAAUCAAGGUGCAUGUGACAUCACGAAGAGACAGAAAGAGGAAUUUCCCAAGUGGUUCAAAGAACAUGUAAGAUAUAAG